rnacentral:tRNA from 1 species
GUUUAGGUAGCUUAUUUAAAGCGUAAUAUUGAAGCUAUUAUGAAGGGACUUGGUCCCCUUGAACG